rnacentral:rRNA from 1 species
AGAAUCAACGCUGGCGGCGUGCCUAACACAUGCAAGUCGCACGAGAAAGGGACUUCGGUCCUGAGUACAGUGGCGCACGGGUGAGUAACACGUGAAUCAUCUACCUCCGAGUGGGGAAUAACUGAGAGAAAUCUUAGCUAAUACCGCAUAACACUUACGAGUCAAAGCAGCAAUGCGCUUGGAGAGGAGUUCGCGGCAGAUUAGUUAGUUGGCGGGGUAAUGGCCACCAAGACGAUGAUCUGUAUCCGGCCUGAGAGGGCGCACGGACACACUGGAACUGAAACACGGUCCAGACUCCUACGGGAGGCAGCAGUGGGGAAUUUUGCGCAAUGGGGGAAACCCUGACGCAGCAACGCCGCGUGGAGGAUGAAAUCCCUUGGGAUGUAAACUCCUUUCGAUAGGGAAGAUAAUGACGGUACCUAUAGAAGAAGCCCCGGCUAACUUCGCGCCAGCAGCCGC